rnacentral:rRNA from 1 species
UGGGGAAUAUUGUACAAUGGGGGAAACCCUGAUGCAGCGACGCCGCGUGAACGAAGAAGGUAUUCGUAUCGUAAAGUUCUGUCCUAUGGGAAGAUAAUGACAGUACCAUAGAAGAAAGCUCCGGCUAAGUACGUGCCAGCAGCCGCGGUAAUACGUAUGGAGCGAGCGUUGUCCGGAAUUAUUGGGCGUAAAGGGUACGCAGGCGGUUUAAUAAGUCGAAUGUUAAAGAUCGGGGCUCAACCCCGCAAAGCAUUGGAAACUGAUAAACUUGAGUAGUGGAGAGGAAAGUGGAAUUCCUAGUGUAGUGGUGAAAUACGUAGAUAUUAGGAGGAAUACCAGUAGCGAAGGCGACUUUCUGGACACAAACUGACGCUGAGGUACGAAAGCGUGGGGAGCAAACAGG